rnacentral:rRNA from 1 species
UAGGGAAUAUUGGUCAAUGGGCGAGAGCCUGAACCAGCCAUGCCGCGUGCAGGAAGACGGCCUUCUGGGUUGUAAACUGCUUUUAUAUGGGAAGAAAACGGCCUUGCGAGGCAAAUUGACGGUACCAUAUGAAUAAGCACCGGCUAACUCCGUGCCAGCAGCCGCGGUAAUACGGAGGGUGCAAGCGUUGUCCGGAUUUAUUGGGUUUAAAGGGUACGUAGGCGGCCAAUUAAGUCAGUGGUGAAAGCCAGCAGCUCAACUGUUGAACUGCCAUUGAUACUGAUUGGCUCGAGUUCUGUUAAGGUAGGCGGAAUUGAUGGUGUAGCGGUGAAAUGCAUAGAUACCAUCAGGAACACCGAUUGCGAAGGCAGCUUACUAGGCAGAAACUGACGCUAAUGUACGAAAGCGUGGGGAUCGAACAGG